GAUGAACGCUAGCGGCAGGCCUAACACAUGCAAGUUGAGGGGUAGCAGGAUUAAGCUUGCUUAAUUGCUGACGACCGGCGCACGGGUGCGUAACGCGUAUGCAACCUACCUUAUACUGGGGUAUAGCCCGGAGAAAUUCGGAUUAAUCCCCCAUAGUACUAAUGAAUCGCAUGGUUUAUUAGUUAAAGCAUUGCGGUAUAAGAUGGGCAUGCGUCCUAUUAGCUAGAUGGUGAGGUAACGGCUCACCAUGGCUACGAUAGGUAGGGGGCCUGAGAGGGUGGUCCCCCACACUGGUACUGAGACACGGACCAGACUCCUACGGGAGGCAGCAGUGAGGAAUAUUGGUCAAUGGGCGCAAGCCUGAACCAGCCAUGCCGCGUGCAGGAAGAAUGCCCUAUGGGUUGCAAACUGCUUUUAUUUGGGAAUAAACCUCUUUACGUGUAGAGAGCUGAAGGUACCAAAUGAAUAAGCACCGGCUAACUCCGUGCCAGCCGCCGCGGUAA
rnacentral:rRNA from 1 species